GACGAACGCUGGCGGCGUGCCUAAUACAUGCAAGUAGAACGCUGAAGCUUGGUGCUUGCACCGAGCGGAUGAGUUGCGAACGGGUGAGUAACGCGUAGGUAACCUGCCUGGUAGCGGGGGAUAACUAUUGGAAACGAUAGCUAAUACCGCAUAAGAGUAGAUGUUGCAUGACCUUUGCUUAAAAGGUGCAAUUGCAUCACUACCAGAUGGACCUGCGUUGUAUUAGCUAGUUGGUGAGGUAACGGCUCACCAAGGCAACGAUACAUAGCCGACCUGAGAGGGUGAUCGGCCACACUGGGACUGAGACACGGCCCAGACUCCUACGGGAGGCAGCAGUAGGGAAUCUUCGGAAAUGGACGGAAGUCUGACCGAGCAACGCCGCGUGAGUGAAGAAGGUUUUCGGAUCGUAAAGCUCUGUUGUAAGAGAAGAACGAGUGUGAGAGUGGAAAGUUCACACUGUGACGGUAGCUUAACAGAAAGGGACGGCUAACUACGUG
rnacentral:rRNA from 1 species